rnacentral:tRNA from 1 species
GGGGAUGUGGCUCAGUGGCACAGCACCUGCUUGGUAAGCACAAAGUCCUGAGUUUGAGCCCCAGUACCCCCC